rnacentral:tRNA from 1 species
GCCGAAGUGGUGGAAUUGGCAGACACGCUAGCUUGAGGGGCUAGUGUCCGCAAGGACGUGUCGGUUCGAGUCCGGCCUUCGGCACCA